rnacentral:rRNA from 1 species
UGGGGAAUAUUGCACAAUGGGCGAAAGCCUGAUGCAGCGACGCCGCGUGCGGGAUGAAGGCCUUCGGGUUGUAAACCGCUUUUGAUUGGGAGCAAGCGAGAGUGAGUGUACCUUUCGAAUAAGCACCGGCUAACUACGUGCCAGCAGCCGCGGUAAUACGUAGGGUGCAAGCGUUAUCCGGAAUUAUUGGGCGUAAAGAGCUCGUAGGCGGUUUGUCGCGUCUGGUGUGAAAGUCCAUCGCUUAACGGUGGAUCUGCGCCGGGUACGGGCAGGCUAGAGUGCGACAGGGGAGACUGGAAUUCCCGGUGUAACGGUGGAAUGUGUAGAUAUCGGGAAGAACACCAAUGGCGAAGGCAGGUCUCUGGGUCGUCACUGACGCUGAGGAGCGAAAAGCGUGGGGAGCGAACAGGAUUAGAUACCCUGGUAGUCCACGCCGUAAACGGUGGAUGCUGGAUGUGGGGCCCAUUCCACGGGUUCCGUGUCGGAGCUAACGCGUUAAGCAUCCCGCCUGGGGAGUACGGCCGCAAGGCUAAAAAC